rnacentral:rRNA from 1 species
GAUGAACGCUGGCGGCGUGCUUAACACAUGCAAGUCGAACGGAAAGGCUCCUGCUUGCAGGGGUACUCGAGUGGCGAACGGGUGAGUAACACGUGGGUGAUCUGCCCUGCACUUCGGGAUAAGCCUGGGAAACUGGGUCUAAUACCGGAUAGGACGAUGGUUUGGAUGCCAUUGUGGAAAGUUUUUCGGUGUGGGAUGAGCUCGCGGCCUAUCAGCUUGUUGGUGGGGUAAUGGCCUACCAAGGCGUCGACGGGUAGCCGGCCUGAGAGGGUGUACGGCCACAUUGGGACUGAGAUACGGCCCUGACUCCUACGGGAGGCAGCAGUGGGGAAUAUUGCACAAUGGGCGCAAGCCUGAUGCAGCGACGCCGCGUGGGGGAUGACGGCCUUCGGGUUGUAAACUCCUUUCGCUAGGGACGAAGCGCAAGUGACGGUACCUGGAGAAGAAGCACCGGCUAACUACGUG